rnacentral:rRNA from 1 species
CGGCGGAUGGGUGAGUAACACGUAGGUAACCUACCUAUAAGACUGGGAUAACUUCGGGAAACCGGAGCUAAUACCGGAUAAUAUUUCGAACCGCAUGGUUCGAUAGUGAAAGAUGGCUUUGCUAUCACUUAUAGAUGGACCUGCGCCGUAUUAGCUAGUUGGUAAGGUAACGGCUUACCAAGGCAACGAUACGUAGCCGACCUGAGAGGGUGAUCGGCCACACUGGAACUGAAGACACGGUCCAGACUCCUACGGGAGGCAGCAGCC